UAGCAUGUUGUGGACAUGAAUUUAUGAGAUCCUUAAAUUGAUCCCAACAUUAGAAGAAGGUUUCAUUCUCUUUUUGUGUAAAAUACAUGAUUGCUUUUCUUAAGGUA